AUUUGACAUAAGAAGUAUCGAAAUCUAAUAAUAUUGCCCGUGAAAAUAUCCCAUCAAUAGUGAAUCUCUCAUUAAUCUCCUUCAGUUCAAAACUUAUCAUCAAUUAAUAUUAAUUCUAUCGAAUAGUAGCACAAACCCUGAGAAAAUGAAAGGGAGUUUAAUACAAUGAGUUCCAAUUACGCUGACAGCCUUUCACCUUAUGAAAACAAGGGAAUCCUAGGCAUCCCAGAGUGUUUUGACAGCGAUGAUACUGUCAUUAAUAAAUGCACUGAGUUAGCCAAUUUAAUCAAGGAUUCCAGACACGUUGUAUUUCAUACUGGCGCUGGGAUAAGUACAUCAGCCGGCAUUCCCGACUUCAGAGGACCGAAAGGCGUGUGGACAUUGGAAAAAAAAGGCGAAAUCCCCAAAUUGAACACUUCUUUUGAUAAGGCAACGCCGACUAAGACACAUAUGGCCCUACGAGCAUUAGUAGAAGCCGGAUACGUGCAGUAUGUUGUCUCUCAAAAUAUAGACGGGUUGCACUUAAGAUCCGGACUUAAACGCAGAUACUUAUCAGAGUUGCACGGUAACAUAUUUAUUGAACAAUGCGCUACAUGUAGACGUCAGUUUGUUCGUUCGACAUCUGUUAAAUCAGUUGGUCAAAAAGCACUGGGAAUCCGCUGUCGAUCAACAGUCAGUAAUGUAGGCCGGGCAUGCCGAACUGGUUAUUUGCAUGAUAAUGUGCUUGACUGGGAGCACGAUUUACCUCAGAGAGAUCUCGAUAUGGCUGUCAUGCACUCUACAAUGGCUGACUUGAAUAUAACUCUGGGAACAACUCUACAAAUUGUACCAAGUGGGAACUUACCCUUAAAAAAUAUAAAAGGCGGUGGUAAACUUGUUAUAUGUAAUUUACAACCAACAAAACAUGACUCUAAGGCACACUUAGUUAUCUCAAGUUAUGUUGAUGAAAUACUAUCGAGGGUUUGUAAUAUUUUAGGUAUUGAAAUAUCAGAAUAUUCAGAGUCGUCUGAUCCCACAACGCAGUCAAACUUGGUUGAAUGGACUUUGCCAUUGAAUCAUAUAAAUAUUAUUGAAAGACAGUUUAAAGCACAUUUGAAAGAGACAGUUGGGUGCAAUCAAAAGAAAAAUCCGGAGUAGCUGUUACCUCCCCCGCUUUAUUCAAGAUACAUUUUUACAAUAAAUUUAGUUAUUUGUAAGUUUGUGUUUUAAUUUUAAUUACAAAAAGUGUGAGAUAUCCAUGGAAUAGCUUAGUGACAUUUUUCAUGCUACCAUGCUAGCUAACCAGUAUUUCACGAAAGUUGUAGGCGACAAGCAGCAGAGAUAACUGUAAGAACUUCGCCUUAAAAGAGAGGGAAGGGUCUUAACAGGAACUGAGGUAUGUGAGGCUGACCCUAAACGAUCCCUGUUGGUCCAGCGCCCUUGCGUCAGAAGGGAUCGCCACCAAAGGACCAAACUGGAAACUUUCGGUGUAAUCACGAGCACAAGGAAUCUCCGCUGCUGAUUUUUGCUUUCUUAAAUAUGAUGGGCGCACAGGUGAUGCCAGCAACAGAGAAUGGCUGCUGGAGAUAGGGAUUGCUGAUUGGCCACGGUGACGUCCGCCCCUCGGGACAUGAUUCAUGUCGCGCGAGCUGUGGUCUUUGGCCUGGCCGUCGCUACCUGUUCAGCGGAUGAUUCCGCCGUAGCUCCUUGUCCUCUCGUUGGUUCCAGAGGAUGUGCUCCUGGCUGGACUGUGGCAGCCAUGAUGCGGCUGUGACGUCCCGUUCGCUGCAGCAGGUACCAGUGAUCAGGUCUUGUGUACCCUACGCUUUGCCGUAGACCGAGUCAUAUCCAAUUUCUCGCCGCCAGAUGGAGUCCUAUCAAACUAUUCCAGCCCCUUGCAAGGGGUCCCCCUCCUUCGACUUGGCCAUCGACAACAAGGACUUUGACUGUUGGAACUAAGAGAUAUCGUUGUUGUUAGGUUUAAGGAUAUGAAUAUAAGGGUCCAUGUAUUUAGACAGUA